rnacentral:rRNA from 1 species
AUUGAACGCUGGCGGCAGGCCUAACACAUGCAAGUCGAGCGGAUGAAGGGAGCCUGCUCCUGGAUUCAGCGGCGGACGGGUGAGUAAUGCCUAGGAAUCUGCCUGGUAGUGGGGGAUAACGUCCGGAAACGGGCGCUAAUACCGCAUACGUCCUGAGGGAGAAAGUGGGGGAUCUUCGGACCUCACGCUAUCAGAUGAGCCUAGGUCGGAUUAGCUAGUUGGUGGGGUAAAGGCCUACCAAGGCGACGAUCCGUAACUGGUCUGAGAGGAUGAUCAGUCACACUGGAACUGAGACACGGUCCAGACUCCUACGGGAGGCAGCAGUGGGGAAUAUUGGACAAUGGGCGAAAGCCUGAUCCAGCCAUGCCGCAUGUGUGAAGAAGGUCUUCGGAUUGUAAAGCACUUUAAGUUGGGAGGAAGGGCAGUAAGUUAAUACCUUGCUGCUUUGACGUUACCAACAGAAUAAGCACCGGCUAACUUCGUG